rnacentral:rRNA from 1 species
GUCAACGUCCAUACCACGUUGAACACACCGGUUCUCGUCCGAUCACCGAAGUUAAGCAACGUCGGGCGCGGUCAGUACUUGGAUGGGUGACCGCCUGGGAACACCGCGUGCCGUUGGCU